rnacentral:lncRNA from 1 species
UUCGGAUUUCUUAAGGAGUGGUGGUGAGUUGAGGAAACUCUUCAGUUCAUCGAAAGCUGCUUGGCAUUCGUCGGUCCAUUAGAAAUCUUUUGCUUGCUUCAAGGUCUUUGAGAAAGGGAGACAUCAGACUAUCGAUCUAGAAACAAAUUGGUUCAAAAUAGCCACAACCAAAAGUGUAAUGAUCCCCUCGACAGGAACUGCUUCCCCUGAGAACCUAACAAGUAGAGAGUUGAUUUUUGCCAACUGAUCUGAAGUAAGAUUCAUUUUGAAAAAAAAAAUAUAUAGAAUAAGAUAUUGGUAGAGUUUUCAUUAUCAAUUUAACAUUCAGCAUACAUCAUAGUUAUCUAUAUUCAAAGUUGCAACGAUUGCAUCAUUAUGCAGGGAUUGGAUCCCGAUGCAUCUUCUUUAGAGAAGGUGAUGAUACCUUCAAUCUUCUAUUUCUUGACUGAUGAUGCUUUAGUCCUCGGUUCAUGAGCUCCAAUUCAAUUGUCAAACUACCCCUAGUCAUGGUAUUGAUGACCUCGAUAGUGGGUCGAUUGUCUAGAUUUUCUUCAAGUUGGGAUGGCUCAGGUCGGGCCUCAUCUCAUUUCCACUGAUCCUUGAGUUAUUUAUUAAGCUACCCAUGCUAAAUGUGCUCCACAAUUUUGUUGCUAAGCUAAAUGCAUUUUUUGAUAUUGUGCCCAUGGUUACAGUGAAAUAAGCAAUACUUAUUCGGGUCAUGUCGGGUCGAUGAAGCUCGGAUCCUCCUCAACCUCAAUAGCUGCUUGUUAUUCUUGAUCUUCAUUAGGAUCUAAGACCUCGAAAAAUUCAGAGUAUAAGUGGCAAAACUUCUCGACAGAGAGUGUGAUCACCAACCUUGGGGUGGAGUUCUAGAUUAAUGAACCCAUGGGAGAGUUUGGGACCUUCAUGAACUCCUUCCUCAUUGGUCAUCAUACCUCGGCUUGCCAUUUUUUCUUUUCUUUUCCUCCUGCUUCAUGG